rfam:Dipodomys ordii contig_19124, whole genome shotgun sequence.
GGGAAUGUAGCUUAGUGGUAGAGUGCUUGCCUCGCAUGCAUGAAGCCCUGGGUUCAAUGCCUCAGUACCUCUU